ensembl:lncRNA
AAUGGGAGCCGGGGAGCCGUCUGUAGCGGCGUAGGCCCGUGCCCCUGCUCGCGCUGCAGCCCGUGGAAGGGUUGCGUCCAGUGUAUCCUCCAGAUCUUGCGGUAGUCCUCUCGUAUCUGUGCGCGCGCGGGAGGGACAGCGGCGGCGACGGCCGGAGGUGUACGGUCAGCGGGUUGCGGAGGAUCGUGCGGGUAGCAAAGGGAGGCCGAGUGCGCCUGCGGCUCCCAGACGGCAAACGGUUGCUUCCUCUACUGAAGUCUUGAAACCCCUGAAAGUCAUCCCUGAGGGUUGGAGUUAACUUCUUCUACACUCCUGUUAAUGUUGAUAUUUUGGCCUCCUCCCAUGAAUCACAAAUGUUCUUAAUGGCAUCUAGAAUGAACAUGCAUCAUUAUUAGAACCAUCACCCUGCAGCUAGCUUGGAUACCAUUAAAAGGGCUCACCAGCUGCAAACGGAUAAAAGUAUCUGAUACUCGGGAAGACAGAGUUUCAGGGUUUCUACCUGGAGCUACACCCUCCAGAAGCCCCUCCUUGGCCUCCCUGCACCCAGCCCCAUCCCAGCCAGUCACAUCUUGGGCUGUACGUGGUGUUUCUUGGAAACCGGAACACAGACUCCUCCAGCAGCUCCACAGGCCCCUUGUCCUCAGUGAGCAGAAGACUACAGGAGCUGGCUACUGAAGAGGCUGUCCAAGUGAUAGAGCACCUUCUUGGCCCUGCUUAGCACAUUUACUGCAGAGCUGGAUGCUACUUAUUUGUGCUCACCACCUUCAGGGACUGCAGAGGGAUUUGUCAGACCCUACUUCACUAAGGGCCACCCUCUAAGGAUCUCCAGAAGAGGCUGCCCAUAGAGAGAAGUGGCCUGCCUAGGGUCUCCACUGCCUCAGGUCCUACCCGGACACCUCUAGGGCUGAGGGGAUCGGUAUCUCUUCACCUACCUGUAAUCCACAUACCAAGUGGAAGAAUCUGCCUGCUAUUUUUUGUUUGUUUUGGCGGGAAGAGUUUUAACUACUGCUGUAAUUCCUUUAGUAGCUAUGGAACUGUUGAGGAUUUCUUUUUCUUCUUGAGUCGAUUUUCGUAAGAUAACAGUUUUCUAGGAGUUGGUCCAUUUUGCCUGCAUUUUCAAAUUCAUUGGCAUCAAGUUUCCUUUUUAUUCUCUGCUGUGUAUAAACUGUAACGAUGUCUCCUUUUUCAUUACUGAU